UGCCACAAUGAUGACACUUAUUUGCUACUCUUGACUGACUGAAUGACGAGAAAGCAGACCACCAAGUCUUGUUCUGAGGCA